rnacentral:lncRNA from 1 species
CCUCAUAGAGAACUUAUGAAGAUUUGUCGAAUAAUUAUGUGAGCAAUAUGUUCAGUACAGUGCCCAGCAUACUGUAAAUGCCUAUUCAAUUAACAAAAUUUAUGUUUAAAACUAAAAAAAUUACAUUGAAAAUAUGUAAUAUAAACUAUUUGUAUUAUUAUUUAUUAGGAGAAAAAUGAUUAUUUCCUAUUAUAUGGAGAGGUAUGGAGAAAGUAAUUGACUUAUCCAGGGUUACAUAGCAAGUCAUUGACCCACGUGCUUGCUUCCAGCCCACCAAAGGACGGCAUCUAGUUUGUGAAGUUCUGACUACACAUUAGAAUCAAACACUGAAGGAUGUGAUCACAGAAGGAUUUGCUUGUGUUUUACCACCUCCUGCCUUAGCUCUGAUCAGGCUGCCACUCUCAAACAUUCUUCACCUCUGAGACUGGCCAAAGGGAAAUAGCCCUUGCUUGAAAAUGCCCUCCUGAGUAUGUCUGUGUAUAUCUUUGAGACCCUUACUAG